ensembl:lncRNA
CUCAUUUGCUAAACAUUAAGCAUUUAGCCCAACUGACACCAUAGAACUUGAUUCAUACUCAAUAAGGAUAAAAAGUCAGUCACUUUCACCCAAUUUAUCUUUGAAAUCUGUUUUUUCAGUCUUAGAAAAUGAUGAACAACUUGCUUGUAUAUCUCAAGUUCUUGAGAUUAAGCCUGCAGUAGGAUUCAAGUUCACACACGUAAUUGCAUGCAUCCACACUUAACCUAAGUGUCCUGACUCUUGUAUUUACUGGCCACAGGAUUCAGCUGGCCAUCAUGUAGCCUAGCUCAUCUAGAACAGUCCUCAGAAUCACAAGAAAACCAAAGUUUUCCUUAUAAUUUGCAUACGGCAAUCAGAGCUUCUUAGAACCAACAAAACUUAUCAAGACCUGAUCUUGGACUGGACCAGCUGAGAUACUUCCAUAAAUUUCUUUGUAUGCAGAAUUGUGUUGCCAGGCAGAAGGUAACAGCUUUCUGUCAUGGUUCAAGACUCAAAGAGGAUAUUUCACCUGGAGAAUCAACAUGUUGGAUAAACACUGUGACUUCACAUCAAAGUGUCUAAGACUAACAUGGUGAGAUUUUGCACUUUCAUCAUUUUGCUAGGCGCUGUCUUCACUCAGUUUCACAAAGAACUAAGGCUGUUAAACGUCCUAUUUUCCUCUGAGACCCUGGACACUUUCUUCUAUGCAUGUCCUUGCAUCAUUCUACAGCAACGCAAUAGUGGCUGUACGUUGUUUUAAGGUUCAGUUUGGAAGAAAUGGCUCUGCUAAGAAGUAGAUUAUUGUGUCAAUAUGACAGAUCUACAUAAGAUUUGAUACAUCAGGGGGAGCAUGCUUGGUGCUACACCAUCUCCAGAUGGGUAAUUUUUUGGAUAUCCAGCCAGGUCCCAGGAAUUAUUCACUUCCACAGCAUCUGGAAUUCUUGCAGACAUCCAUAAAGGACACUGCUGGGAAUCCAAAUGGAGCCAGGAAAGAAGAGACUGGAGAAAGCACUGAUAAUUUAGUUUAUACACUUGUAAGCUAUACACUAGCUCCAUAUACAGUAUUUUCAUCUUCUGAAUCAGCUAGGUUGGGUUUAAAAGUAGAGGAUUUUCCUAUAAUGCAGAAUAAAUGCUAAAUGUAAUAUAUAAAUGCUAAAUGUAAUUAGGCAAAUAUAAAACUUAAAUGCUUCCAAAUACAUUAUGCUGUCACGUGUUUACAGGACCAUGUAAUCUCAGAAUGGUUCAGAUUGGAAAGGACCUCUAGAGGCCAUCUGGUCCAACCCCUGCUCCAACAGGCCCACCUCAAGUAGGGUGCUUGUUUAUUCACAUAAGAAUAAUAAAACAAACUAGUAAACAGAAUGUUAGAGGAUGGGUCACAGGAGGCAGUAGAGAUGCAUAACCCACACAUUUCUAAUUUAAAAUAUCUUUGCUUGCUAUUGAGAUUACCAGUCAUACUUAGCUCUGUGAUGCUUUUAAUGAUCAAGUUCUUUCAUCCAUAGAUUGGCAUGGCCAAAUGGAUUUCACUUGUCACCUAACUGAAAUGUAAACUGAAGUUUUAGUAGAAAAGUGUAUGAAGUUAUUUCAGGUUAGGCUAGCUUCAUUGUUCAUAACUUGGUAUGUAGCACUUCUUGCAUGCCAAAUCCAGCAUCAGGAUGUUGCAAGACAGACCACGUAAACAGAAAUUAUUAAAUGGGAGUGCUGUAGUCAAGGUUUCAUCUGUCUAUCCUCUAAGGCUUUAUUUACUACAACUACCUGUUAUGAAAUUGCAUGCAAAAACAUGUAUAGACUGACUACAUUUUCAUUUAUAUGCGCAAAAAUAUGUAAAUAUAUCUAUACAUACAUACACAUAUAUGUGUAGCAAAUUCAUCUGUGCCAGGGCCUGUUCAGACUGCAAACUGGAUGACUGCACUGAUAUUAUUCAUUGGGGAUGGCCUCUGACCCAUGCUAACUCUUGAACCAUGCCUGGACAUUGUUUAAAUGAGAGUUAGACAGGCAGAUAUUGCACCACCUAUUAAAAGGCAUUGACAAACUGUUCCCAGUGCCUAUCCCCUGGCACUGUUUACUGUGUAGACGUAUUUUAAGUCUUCCUAAGCUCUAAAAGCAAUCCUUUUGAGCUAAUGAAAGAAUAGUGCCUGAAAAGAUCAGCAUUGUCCAUGGAUUACAGAGUUACAGAGGCGCAGAAUGGGUGAGGCUAGAGGGGACCUCUGGAGGUCAUUGGGUGUAACCUCUUCAAGCCGGGACACCGAGAAAAGGGUGCCCAGGUCAACAUCCAGAUCACUUUUGAAUAUCUCCAAGGAAGAUCAGUGAUGUCUAUAAUUGUAAAACAGAGCGCCGAGUACAUCAGCAAUCUGCUGGGCUAUUCAUUUUGUCUAUAUUUGCUUGAUUUCCACUGGAUGCAAUGGAAAUCAAGGUGCCUAACCCAAUAAUAGACACUUCUAUGACAAGAUUGAUUUGCUUAGACAUGUAAAGAGUUUUCUAAAUGAUCCUUUUUCUUCUAUAACUUACUCUUGAAAAAUAAAACUUUUAG